rnacentral:rRNA from 1 species
CAGCAGCCGCCGCGGGAAUACAGAGGGUGCGAGCGUUAAUCGGAUUUACUGGGCGUAAAGCGUGCGUAGGCGGCUUCUUAAGUCGGAUGUGAAAUCCCUGAGCUUAACUUAGGAAUUGCAUUCGAUACUGGGAAGCUAGAGUAUGGGAGAGGAUGGUAGAAUUCCAGGUGUAGCGGUGAAAUGCGUAGAGAUCUGGAGGAAUACCGAUGGCGAAGGCAGCCAUCUGGCCUAAUACUGACGCUGAGGUACGAAAGCAUGGGGAGCAAACAGGAUUAGAUACCCCGGUAGUCCCUGUCUCUUAUAC